UAUGGUAAGCCAGCAGCCGCGGUAAUACGUAGGGGGCAAGCGUUAUCCGGAUUUACUGGGUGUAAAGGGAGCGUAGACGGUGUGGCAAGUCUGAUGUGAAAGGCAUGGGCUCAACCUGUGGACUGCAUUGGAAACUGUCAUACUUGAGUGCCGGAGGGGUAAGCGGAAUUCCUAGUGUAGCGGUGAAAUGCGUAGAUAUUAGGAGGAACACCAGUGGCGAAGGCGGCUUACUGGACGGUAACUGACGUUGAGGCUCGAAAGCGUGGGGAGCAAACAGG
rnacentral:rRNA from 1 species